rnacentral:sRNA from 1 species
GUUUACCUAAUCAAGCCUGGGCAAUGGCGGGCGCCCCUCCCCCAGCCUCGCUGCCGUCUUGCAGUUUGCUCUCAGACUGCUGUGCUAGCAAUCAGCGAGACUCCGUGGGCGUAGGACCCUCCGAGCCAGGUGCGGGAUACAGUCUCGUGGUGCGCCGUUUUUUAAGCCGGUCCGAAAAGCUCAAUAUUCGGGUGGGAGUGACCCGAUUUUCCAGCUCCAGUCAGUCCGGUCAAGCAUGACAGCAACUCAAACUCGGCAAACUUCCAAGACGUGGAGGACAUGUCUGACAGAUGUGCCUUGGAAGAGUCUGAGAGUCCAGGUGAGCCAAGGCAUCAUUCAUGGAUAGCAAAGGUCUGCCCCUGCAAGGUGUCUUAAAUGGAAUCUCAUCAGUAGGAGCUGAAUUUGGACAAACUAAGAACUCCAAAAGAUGCCAUUUUUUUAUUACUGUAUAAAAGCAUUGUUGUUAUUGGUCAAGUUAUUAGGCUGUAGUGGAUUUGCUAAUACUUUAGCCAACAUGUAUUAAAGUGAUUUUAAUACAUGCUGAUUAAAAUGCAAUACAUACUGAUUGAUUGAAAAUAUUCAUAUUCAUCUAAUUUUAGAAAAAUAUUGCCUAGAUCAUUCUCUAUUCCUGUUUCUUACUUUUUCUGUUAAUAUUUCCAACAGGGAAUGCCAGUCCACAGACACAAAUUUAAUACUGCUUUAAAUUUUCUCCUAUCCUUUUAGUCCCUGAAUUAUAUGAUAAACAAUGUUAAACCCAAUGUAGUACACAAUACUUAUGAAUUUAAUAUUGCUUCAAGGUAUUUAAUCUAAAAUUUUACCAACUUUGAUUUGUCUGGUUAGGAUAUUUUGUUUUAGUGGAUAUGCUUUAAUUCGGAUCAAUUACUGCAGUAAAUCUCAUCCCUAAGCAUGAAAUGUUGUCAACAAAUACCCAGUUCCAUUUAGUUAUCAAUUAGCCCAAAUAAGUGAUACAAAGUGUAACAGUGACCAACCUUGUACUGUUGAGUUAAUUUGAACUUCUAAUGACAUUGAGGCUAAUGUCUUUAGCUCAAGGUUGAUCUUGUUGGCCAUAUAGAUGUGAACUAGGGAAGGGGAAUCAACUUACAGCAUAUCACAAUUGAUCCUUAUUAAGUAUAAACUCUUGUAGGUCUUUUCCCAGAAAGAAGCUUGACUAGCAGGAAUUCUAAAAUUGAAAUAUAUCAAACAGCAUAAAUAGGAAUAGACAUAAAGUGCUCUUCUAUUAAAGCCUUUGGUGAUCUAUUUACUAUGAUUUAUAUUGUACAGUUCCUCAAUUUACAGAAAAUCAUCAAAAUUAUUAAUCUACAUAUCUUAUGUAUAUAAAUAUUGCCUAAUCCAUAGAAAAAAGGAUAUAAAGUAUUAAAUGUGUGAUAUAUAGCUAUAUCUAUCUAUCUAUGUAUCUAAUAGGGAAGUUCAAGUCACUUCAAUUGAAGAAACAUAUCUCUCUCUGAGCAUAGGAGCAGCCUCAGGUCCUAUGGUGGGAUGCAGUGGACAGGAGAGGGGGAAAUUAGAAAAGAGAACUAUAUAAUUGAAAAAGGGAUAUAAAGCAUUAAAUAUAUGAUAUAUAGCUAUAUCUAUGUAUGUAUCUAACAGAGAAGUUCAAGUCACUUCAAUUAAAGAAACAUUUCUGAGCAUGGGACCAGCCUCAGGUCUUAUGCUGGGAUGCAGUAGACAGGAGAUGGGGAAAUUAGAAAAGAGAACUGUGUAAUUGAAAUGACAUGGGCUGCACCCUUAAGGAACUUAUAAUUAAUGAUGAUCUGAAUAAACAUACCAGGAUAAAGAUGUCAAAUGAGUGUGACUCCCUUAAAGUAGAUUAAAGUGUGCAUUGUUUGUUUCCUAAAAUAUGAUUUUACUGCUUGAAAUUAAUUACAUUUGAGUUGAACUUUAGAAACUAACAUAGCGUUAAUAUGAAUAAUCAUGGAAAAUUAUUAUCCUUUGAAAACUGAUAAAUAUAUUCCCCCUCCUUUAGAAACAGUCAAAAGCCACUUCAAACAAGUUUCAAAAUAAAGGAAGGUAGCAAGUUAGGCGAUGGAUUAUAUUUUCUUGCUUGUUGUAUACCAGUUGUCAAGGACAUUAUAAGGACUCCCAAAAGCAUUUUGAAGGAUGGCAAUAUCAAAUAAGUGUAUGUCCUCUCAAAUGAGGCAUUUUUAAUUGUUAAAACCUAUUUGGACGCUCAGGUUAUGAUAUGUUUAUGAAAAAUAAGCUUCAUUAUUUUUAUAGCUACAUCCUAUUAUUAUUCCCUUUUAGAAACAAGAAUAACAAUAGGUUUCAAUAGUUGCCAUACUUAGCAUUUAUCAGGUCUAAUGAAACCAAUACUGAAUCUCUCUCUGAUAAAUAUUUUCUGAUGUUACUAGCUAUGGGAAAUUAGAACUGGCACAACCCUGACAUUACUAAAUGGAAAUGUUAGGAUUUUUCGGCAUCGCAUGUUAGAAUCUCUAAAAUUUAAACAUUCCUGUUAAAUGACUAAGGUUUGCUUUUAUCAGUAUGAAUUCUGAAGGCCAAUAUCAUACCAUUAACUAUGAAAGCUUUUAAUUCCUAAAAAUAGUUUUAGAGAUAUUCAAGCAAUGCUCUCCUAAUAUCCAUACGCAUGUGUUUAUAACACAAAUUCACUAGUCUGUUUAAAAAUGAAUUCUUUAUAUUGACUGGUGUUCCACAUAUUUCAGUAAUUUCUGUUUUGAGAGGACUUGAAAUAGCAAAUUGCCACACAGUUAACUGGAUAGACCACGUACGUGGUGAUCAUAACCACUUGGUACUACACCCAGAAACUCAAAAUUGUCUUUCUCCUGAUGAGAUAUGGGUGUCCUUUUGUACGUCUAGCCCUAGGUAACCAGUGGAGCGAUUAUAUUAGCAAAUGUGUUUGUAUCCAGAGUCUUCCUGUCAUUGUAAUAAAAAAUUUAUUUAAAAAUUUUGUCUUGUGUUUCUUUUUUGGUAAUCAUCUUGGUGAUAUUUAUGAAUGUAUAUAUGUGUGUGUGUGCAUACAUACAUAUAUAUACACAUAUAUGUGUGUGUGUGUAUAUAUAUAUAUAUAUAUAUGGCAUAUCCCCCAAAGGAAUAUCAUAUUUUCAUUUGCAAGCCUUGAUUCUUUGACUUGCUGUUGAGUUUCACAUUGGCUCCAUUGUAUAUUGCAAGAAAAAGUACCUGGAAAAGCCUGGAGGGUUAAAAGCAGAGGCUCCUCGGCAGUGUGUCCAGGCCGUGUGUGCUUGCUGUGCUUGUCAGAGCCUCAUUCUCUCCCCUGUGUUGGAGAGCUUUCUCACAGGGCUCAUCCAGAGGUGCUAGAAAGCAAUGUGAGCACUAUUAAACACUUCAAAUAUAAGGAAAAAUGUAUAAUGUUAGAAACACACAGUUAAAAAGUAGCCCCAGGUAUCAAACAUUCUGUUACUAUUUUAGAAACUAAAUUAAGGCUGCUUUGAACAUGAUGGUAUUAGAAAAAUGGUAGAAUACAGUUUGUUAAAUAUUAAUAUUCUAUCUUUAGAUGAUAGCAGUUGGAUGACUUUUAUUUCUUAUACAUUUUUUCCAGUGUUCUGUAUUUUUAAAAUCCUUUCAUAAUUAUUAUAAUGAACACUUUAGAAAAGAUACUAUUUCUCUUCCAUCCUUAGAGGGCACAUUAUAAUAAUUGAGUAUUUUAAAAUUAAAUUUUAUGCCAUAUGUUUAAAAUGAAAGUUCAGGUUACAUUAAUUCCAAUUGAUUUUAAAGCCUUAUUUUCACAGAGUGGACUCAUUCAAUUUUUUAAAUUUUAUAUUCAUACAUUUUGAUUGCUCAGUUAUAUAAAAGUGGUGUUAUAGACUCCUUUAUUCUCCACAAAAUGUUGUCUUAUAUGUAAAGUGCCAAAAGUUGUGUUUAAUUUCCUAAGAAAGUCAUUGCUUUGUAAACAUUUGCAUAAUACUUAGUGUUUUUUGUAAUUUUAAAAAAUUAGCUUAACCAAAAGAGUUGCAAAAUUAAAACUUACUUGAGUAGGUAUCUUUCAGACAAAGCUGCAUGGCUUCAUGUACAAUAGUCCCCAGAUCACCUCGCAUUGUAGUUUGCUCAAGAAGGAGCCUACAGAUGGCAGGUAGGAGAAGGUAAACUGGAAAUUAACAGGUCUGUCUGUAAGAGCAUGCCACUGGAAACACCCAUCCAAUUUGGGACCCCUGGAAGACAGCAUGUGUCUAAUGGGAGGCCUGUCCUAGUACAACUCCUUUACUCUUUUCACCUUCAUCUUGACCUUCUCAGAUACCAUCUUUAGGUAAAAUGUUGAUGUUAUGGAGUUUUUGCAGUAAUUUAAUUUUUAUAAAUAUUGUAUUAAAAUAUAUUUAUCUUGA